GGGAUCGUGGCGCAGUUGGCUAGCGCGUAGGUCUCAUACAUGUGCUUCACAGCAUAACAGUAGAGUCUUAUAUCCUAAGGUCGUGAGUUCGAGCCUCACCGAUCCCA
rnacentral:tRNA from 1 species